rnacentral:rRNA from 1 species
GCACGGGUGAGUACGCGUAUGCAACUACCUUUACAGGAGGAUAGCCCAGAGAAAUUUGGAUUAAUACUCCAUAGUACUAAUGAAUCACCUGGUUUAUUAGUUAAAACUCCGGUGGUAAAAGAUGGGCAUGCGUGUCAUUAGUUAGUUGGUAAGGUAACGGCUUACCAAGGCGAAGAUGACUAGGGGUUCUGGGAGGAAGAUCCCCCACACUGGUACUGAGACACGGACCAGACUCCUACGGGAGGCAGCAGUGAGGAAUAUUGGUCAAUGGGUGAGAGCCUGAACCAGCCAUGCCGCGUGAAGGAAGACUGCCCUAUGGGUUGUAAACUUCUUUUCUGCAGGAAGAAAUCACUCUACGUGUAGGGUGUUGCCGGUACUGCAGGAAUAAGCAUCGGCUAACUCCGUGCCAGCAGCCGCGGUAAUACGGAGGAUGCAAGCGUUAUCCGGAUUUAUUGGGUUUAAAGGGUGCGUAGGCGGGCUUGUAAGUCAGUGGUGAAAUGCUGUGGCUUAACCAUAGAAUUGCCAUUGAAACUGCAAGUCUUGAGUACAGUUGAGGUGGGCGGAAUGAGUAAUGUAGCGGUGAAAUGCAUAGAUAUUACUCAGAAACUCCGAUUGCGUAUGCAGCUUGCUAAACUGUAACUGACGCUGAUGCACGAAAGCGUGGGGAGCGAACAGGAUUAGAUACCCUGGUAGUCCAACGCUGUAAACGAUGAGCACUGGUUGUUGGCAAUACACCGUCAGCGACUGAGCGAAAGUAUUUAAGUGCUCCACCUGGGGAGUACGUCGGCAACGAUGAAACUCAAAGGAAUUGACGGGGGCCCGC